AAGGAAGGAAGUGGCGGAAGGAAGGAAGUGGCGGAAGGAAGGAAGUGGCGGAAGGAAGGAAGUGGCGGAAGGAAGUGGCGGAAGGAAGUGGCGGAAGGAAGUGGCGGAAGGAAGGAAGGAAGUGGCGGAAGGAAGGAAGGAAGUGGCGGAAGGAAGGAAGUGGCGGAAGGAAGGAAGGAAGGAAGGAAGGAAGGAAGGAAGGAAGGAAGGAAGGAAGGAAGGAAGGAAGGAAGGAAGGAAGGAAGGAAGGAAGGAAGGAAGGAAGGAAGGAAGGAAGGAAGGAAGGAAGGAAGGAAGGAAGGAAGGAAGGAAGGAAGGAAGGAAGGAAGGAAGGAAGGAAGGAAUUAACUUUUCUGAACUGGGCAUAAUUUUCACCUUAAAAACAUAUUCCUUAUUUGACUCAUCAGUAUUCCUACAGCUGCCCAGCCCCUGAAAUUGGGCUGAAGACAUAUGGGAAGAAGAGAAAGAAUGUAAUACAGUCUCAUUCUGGUCCUCAGCCUUCACUCUGGAGUGCGGAGCAGACAUCACACAGGGUCAGAAUCCUGCAGGUUCCACAGGUUCAGCUCUGCACUCUACUCAGUGGCAUGUAAUGGGACUCUGGUGGGUUAGUGUGCCAAGACUGUGCAGCUUUGUCAUGCCUCACACUAUUUUGAACACCAGUUGUACAAAUAGCAUGCAAAUUCUCUCUUCACAGAUGCAUUGAACAGGAGGAGAUAACUGAAGCAGGUCUUGCUCCCCCUUCUGCCCUGGAUAUUUGUUCUCCUCCCCAGCUGGAAGAAUACAUCCCACUGCUCAGUGACAAUGCACGUGUAUAAAUCAUUGACCCGAAUACCAAGUCAGGUGUACUUGGCCACUCUUUAAGGAACAGAAUGCCUGGACUGUAAGAUAAGAAGUCCACAUGGCAGCUUUCCAAUUGUAUUUAUGCACUCCAACUAAUUGAGUCACAUAAAUAUUGCAAGCUCCUUGGGAUAAAAUUGUGCCAUCUUACUCAGAAGUUCAAGAUUGAAAUGACCCUAGUUAGUACUCUUAGCCACUAAUGUACCAAUUGCAAUAGUAGAUUCUGAAAAAUAGAUGGUGUAGGCACUGUUUUGAAGCAAAAAGUCCCUGCAUCAAGACCUGAGACUGACACAGUUUGACCUCAUCACAGCUGACCCUGUUUUGAGAAGAAGAUUGGACUAAGUGAUCUCCUGAAUUCCCCUGAAACAUGAAUUAUCCUAUGACAUUAUGAACUGUUACAUGCAUUGUUACUUUAUCUCUCCUGGCAACAGAACCAGAAAAAUAUAAUUUCUGCUGUAAAAUUUUUAUGCAUAGAUGUGUGUUUCAUAUAUAUAUGUGUAUAUAUAUAUAUAUAAAUGUAGAUGUACUAAUACUGGCCUCUUGCUAUUCUUACAGAUCUCUAAAAUGAAAUCAUGCCCUUUUCAAAGUUAUUUGGUACUUCUAGUCUCAUGGAAAUAAGUUUACUUUGUUUUAGUGAGGGAAACCAAAAUGAAACUCACUGAAAAUGUUGCUUUAAGAAGCCAGUCAAUGCAUUCAUGGGAAAAUAUUAUCCAUCCCUCAGCAGAAUAUUUUUAAUCUAUGAUUGUUGUUGCUGCUUUUUAGAGAGGUUCAGUUCUUCUAGGUCAUAUAUUUUUCAGUGAUAACAAGGGCUGCAAGGUGUAUUUUCAAUUUAGAUUCACAUUCUUACUCUAGCAUCAGUUAAAACAUUCAAACUCCCUCUU